CUCAAAUGAACCAGAAUAGCAGCAAAACGCACUCAGUUUCAAUUGACGCGUGAGCGAGUCAGCGCCAAAUAUAGGUCCUCUCUCCCUCCCUCUCUCCCCCCCCCCGGAUUGUACCAUCGCAGAAAUGAUUCCUUCACGUGUGCGAUGAAUACUUCAUUGCUGACCCAGAUAACGGCGACACGUCGGGCUCGGAGAGCGUCGCUGCGUCGCGGUGCCGCCCGCUCCUCCGCCGCGCGCUGCCGCCGCGGCGGGAGCCGUUGACGGCGCGCGCAUCGCAUCUUCCUCCGGCCGAGGACCAAAAAACUGACCGUCCCCGGGCUCGCUGGCAGGAGGGGGGGGGGGGAGAGAGGAUAAGCGCCGCGCACCGAGAGAGGGGCGAUGGAAACGGGGGAACAGGUGACCGAAUCGCAGCGCUGAGAAAUCGUCGAGGGGGUUUUCCUGCCCGGGAGUCCGACCCUGAAGACACGCGGACGGCGGCUGUCGAUGCGGUUUUCGACGGCGGCCUCGGGCCUGCUCCUUCGUCCCGUGGGACUCCCUGCCUGUCAAAGUUAGGAGGAAGUUCGAGCCUGAUAAAACGUAUUACGCCUGUCAGCCGGAGCUGCCGGGAUGACGGGCCAUCUCUCCCUGUGACAAGGAGAGGGACAUCUUCCAAAUAACAAACUGACAGCCGCCAUCCAGAGGCGCCGCGUGACUGAGGACCGCUGGCACAGACCGUCCAUCCUUCCUUCCCGGGUACAGAGACGCAAACUCGCAGCGGGUUCAUUCUGUUCUCGCUGAGCAGUCAGCCGCGCACGUUAGCAGAAGGUGUGCACGCGUUACUGGGACGGUGGGUGGAGGUAGGACUCCGACAGCUGGGUGGUGUUGGUAAAUGAAGCGGCGGCAGCAGGGGGGGCAAAGGGUCGUUACCGCGGUGCUCAGACAAACCGUGCGUUUUGCAAUUAUAACUUUCCAAUUGCUGUUGAUGAUCCAUAUUGGCUGAUUUUGAGGCUGUUUUUGUUAUUUUAUUGACCGGUAUUUAAAGGAUCAGACUACUAUUUAUCAGGAGCAUCACAAGAAUAGAUUUAGCCUCUCUAUGAUCAGCAAAGAUUCUGAAUGAUAUCUUUUCAAUUGUUAUAGUCAUAUACAAAUUUGACAGAAUACAGAAGAUGAUUUCAGUUCCUCGACAAAAACAAAUUAGACAGGAUUACAUUUCAAAAUAUAUCCUUGUUGCAUAUCUCCAUCAUUUGCAUGGGAUAUAAUUAAGCUUCUAAGACUCAAAACUUUAUUUUAUAGGAGCUUGUUACUUUUGCAAUAGACAAUAGAACAAACCCAGGGCUGUCAUGACAUAUUCUAAAUCCAAAUAUAUAUACAGUAUAUUUGAAAUGUAAGAAACAAAGAACCGUUCAGGCAACGUUGUUCGUGGGGCCGUCAAUAGAUUAAAAAAAUCACAAAUGAAUGGCACAUUUUGAAAUUCACGUAAUUAAUGGAGAGUAAAAAAAAAAACAUUCUUCUAAGGACUAAAUCUUACAAGUAAUGAGUAAUUCCUUUAGAAAGCAUGUAUUUUAGACAUUGUUGUUUAAUUGUAAAUGUUAUUUUAAACAGAAAACUACACACAUUUGAUCAUCUUGGAGGCAGAAUCCCACCGGGUGGAACAUGUGGAACCAGCGACUCUUCCUGCUGUCCUCGUGCACAUUUAACCAGGACUGUUUUCAGAUACAAAACCCUGCAAUAAUCUAUUAUCCUCUUUACUUCCAGGCCUUUAAUAGCGGAACGGAUCUAAAGCCAGAACCUCCAAUCAAAUCAGGUUCAAAUUCCAACAACCCAAAUUGAAUCGAAACACUCCUCUCGGGAACAUUCAUUAAUGUUAAUUAAUGACGGGGAUAUUUAGUUGAUGGAUUUCACUGUGCAAAUUCAUCGACCUGAGCUUUUCAAGUGUGGCGGUUUUGAAUGAGAUAUUACUUAAAGCUAUGUGUUAAAAAUAUGAUAAAAACAUGUACUAUAUUUGUUAAGGGGCGGCACUGCUGUUCCUGUGUGUACGAUAACAGAGAGCGAACGGUGGGAGACUGAGGGAAGCUUUAAAAUAUUCACUUAUGAAUUCCCGGGUGCUCAGCCGGUCCAAAAAUAAUCCAAAGCAAAGACAAAUGAGUUUCCCUGCAUCGUCCUCCCGGUCUGCCUUAACCCAACCCACGGCAAGUGUUAGCUCGCGCUGCCGUGAGCCGGCGGUCUACGGGGAUGCGCGCCGCUGCCGUUUGAUCCUCUCUUUGCUUAACUCAACAACGCUGAGCGCGUGUGCACUGCAGCAGACCGCAGGCCGGCUGCCUGGCUGCUGCGUGUCUCUACGCACAAGAGGUUUAUAGAAGCAAGGCCGCCUGCGGAACACCCCGUCCGGGCCUCCGGAUCCGCACGCGCAGGAGGUAAACGCACUCUUUGUGCUUCUCCUCAGACGCCUUUAACCCCCUCCAACUAACUCUUUCAUAGACGUGUGUGUGUGUGACUCGCAAAUGAAAAGAAAAAGCCCUACCUUUGCACAAACGCUCUCGCUCUGAAGUUAACCGUUCGAAUCUUAAAAGGGACACACACACACACACACACACACACAUGCACGCUCUGAUAAAAGCUCGGUGCAGCAAAAUAACCGUUAGGGAGUUCAUUCCAAUUCUGCUGACAGCAGAUAGGCUUCAGCGUUCUCUCUCUCUCUAUCCAGCAGUAAUUACUUAUAAGGCCACAGGGAUUAUGACGUCCCCGAGUCCCCUCUGCAAUAGAGCCGGUGCUCCAUACAGCCUCGUUCACCGAGUACGGUUCUUCUAUCACCCCCAGUCCUCAUUAAGCCGUCCCUCCCUCUCGUUAUUCCCCCCCCCUCCCUGUGUAAUAUCCUCCAUCCAUUAACUCGGCCCGGUCCUCCACCCGUCCUUUUCCCCCGUCCUCGCGCUUCCUCCUCCUUUUGCGAUCUUCUCCAGCUGCCACGCUGGAUCAGCGCUCUCUUAAUUUGACUUGUACGGCGCCGUCGGCGAGGGGGGGGAGAGGAGCCACGACGCCGGGAACAUACGAGUGCACAUACAUUGUCCUUGUGUAAGACGGCGUGUUCCUCUGCGUGUCCUCGGAUACCUCGGCCUGUGCUGUCCCCCCCCAUCCAAGGUUGGCUGUCUUUCUGUGUAGAUACAGGAAAUUCAUCUAUUUCCCGCUUGGUCACCAUGGCUCCUGAGGCGGCCGCUUGCAGAUGUGCCCACUGAGGUGUGUGUGUGUGUGUGUGUGUGUGUGUGUGUGGUGCAGAAGCCCGUUGCCCAGUAGAACCAUGAGGCGCUCGAUCUUUUCCCUGGUGCUGGGUUUACGCCACACAAUUCAAAACCUGGCCUUGAAAUGGCCGACGGCAUUCGGGAUAUCAGCUGUGAAAAGGCUCAUAUCAGAGAUCGAAUCAGCACUCGCUCCCGUGAGCUGAGAUAUGUAGCGUGAUUAAUAACCUGUCCCCAACGUCCAAAUGCGCUCCGACCGCCGGCGGCAGCAGUAACGACCGUAAAGCUCAAUAUAUAUAUUUAAGUGGCCUGAACAAUGCAAGUUACAGUAUCGUUAAAGGUAAAUGUAAGUCACUUCUGGCAGGUCACUGUGUUAGUUUUUAUUAUUACGUUCCUAUGCGACUGAUGCAUGUGAGCAAUGAUUUUGUGGAUAAAGGAGAGCCACAGACCGCACGUCUUUUAAAUGAGAAUACCAAACAUCGCCAGGGCGUCGGUCAGCGGUGACGACGUGGCGUGGUUUGUUUAAAAGGCCUGUUCAUUGGUGAAGGUUACCUAGCUGAACAGAAAGCGCAGGUAUCGUGAGCGCCUGUUUGCCUUAAAGCUGAUGUCGUGCUUUAAUCCUAAAUCCAAAGGAAAAAAUUCCGUCGGCGUGUCGUUGAGGGAACCAGCACCAACGCCAACCUCCGGCUCGUCCUCCAAAAAUACACCAAGCAGAAAUGCGCAAAGCCCUCUAUUUUCUUUCCUCUCUUCACAGCCGAGUUGCCACGGUGACGAGCUUGCCCACUUUUUACAGCAUCUGUGAGCCCAACACACACACACACACACACACACUUAAGCGCGGAUGCAAAAAGACGCGGAUCGGCACGCAAGGGCGGCGGCAGCCACUCGGGCAAGUUUACUUUUCCCUUUUUAAAUGCAGACGCGAGGGACGCCGGUCCACUGGUGAGGAUUCGUCACCGAUAACACACGGGUCGCUCCUCGCACGCACGCGUCCAACGGGGGAGAUAAGAUUAGCAAAGAGGGCAGCCGGUGGCCAACUGGCUCCUCAGCGGCCUCAGCCAACAAUCAGCCACGACUUAUUUCCGACACGCCGCUGUCUCACGGCGGCCAGCUUCGGCCGGCUAAUUUACUUCAUCAGUACCAAUGCAAGCGCAGGAACAGCUGGGCCGGCGCGUUUAGACAUUCAAAUCCGCUGUAAAAUAUGCAAAUGGUGGCUUUGGCGGCGAGCCGGGCCGCCGCAAGGCGGGAGCUGCGGGUGGUUCCCCUGCUACAUUCUGAGGCUGCUCUGUCCCCCCUGUCACAGAAUCCGCCUGCUGGUGCUGAUUUAUCAGAGAUCCUCCCACGUCCACGCUGAGUGACGUCCUUAAAGUGCUCAACGGGCCUAAACCGCUGCUUGAGUGAACCAGGUGCAUUCAAAUAAUAUUCACAUGUAUAUUAGAAUUCAGCCAGAAAGCUCCAGUGACGGACUUCUGCGUCUCCUUUUUAAUGCGAAAGGCAAAGACCUUUCCUCUUCUUUAGCGGCGAUGCUAUCAGUGUUAAAACAGGCCAAGCUGGGAACCGUCAGACAGAGCUCAGGUACAUUCUUUGGCACUCACACACACACACACACACACAUCCACAUACGUGCACACACUCGCACACGCUCGACACAUUUUGGCACGUUCCACGGUGCACCGAGGUCGGCUCCGGGCGGCUGCACAGAUGCACCGUUUGAAUACUGCAGGCUAAUCGGGCGAAUCGAUAAAUGUUGAGAGGGUGAGCCCACCCAAGCAAUGGAAACAGGUCGCCGCGCUGAGAAUAACUCCGUCUGCGCCCCAAAUCACAGGCCAACCUGUAGGACGGACUUGAAAGGGGCCCCCAAGAGGAAAGGGGGUUGUUGUGCUGCUUCGCUCGGGGUAAACGG
ensembl:lncRNA